AUGUAUCAUGAGGAAUUGGAGUCAGAGGUUUUUGUACGGUGGUUCAAUGAGUUUGUAUCACUGUGGUGGACUUUUGGUGGAGGAACCAGACUGGAGCUUGGAAGUGAUGUCCGUCCCACCCUGACGGUGCUGCCCCCCUCUAGUGAGGAGAUAAAGAAGGGCCAUGCCACACUUACAUGUCUGGCCAACAAGGGCUUCCCCUCAGACUGGAGUCUGUCCUGGAAGGUGGACGGCAGCAGCAGCAGCAGCUAUGAGGAGAGCAGGAGCCCCGGGGUGCUGCAGAAGGAUGGCCACUACAGCUGGAGCAGCACCCUGAGGGUCCCUGCAGACCAGUGGAGGAAGGUGGGCUCUGUGACCUGUGAGGCCACCCAGGGCUCCCAGACUCCACUCUCAGAGACACUGAGGAGAGACCAGUGUUCCCAGUACUGACCUGAUUCACUGGGAAUCUGAUCCUGCUUUUAUUCUGUAGCUCUUCUUCUUCAAUAUCAAACACUGUUCCUUUCUUCUCAUUUCUGAUUUAUCAUUUUUUCUCUUAAUCUUUGUGAUGUUUUGAUUAUGAAAUGUUCUUUGCUUUUUGUAACUGAGAUUUUCUAAGUUUAAUAAAAUCCCUUU